rnacentral:siRNA from 1 species
CACAAUCUAGCCUAGUGACUUU